rnacentral:rRNA from 1 species
UGGGGAAUAUUGCACAAUGGGCGCAAGCCUGAUGCAGCCAUGCCGCGUGUGUGAAGAAGGCCUUCGGGUUGUAAAGCACUUUCAGCGGGGAGGAAGGCGAUAAGGUUAAUAACCUUGUCGAUUGACGUUACCCGCAGAAGAAGCACCGGCUAACUCCGUGCCAGCAGCCGCGGUAAUACGGAGGGUGCAAGCGUUAAUCGGAAUUACUGGGCGGAAAGCGCACGCAGGCGGUCUGUCCAGUCGGAUGUGAAAUCCCCGGGCUCAACCUGGGAACUGCAUUCGAAACUGGCAGGCUAGAGUCUUGUAGAGGGGGGUAGAAUUCCAGGUGUAGCGGUGAAAUGCGUAGAGAUCUGGAGGAAUACCGGUGGCGAAGGCGGCCCCCUGGACAAAGACUGACGCUCAGGUGCGAAAGCGUGGGGAGCAAACAGG